CAGACUUGGACUCGUAAAGGCGGACAGAGCACCAGACAGACCCCUAGUUGAAGUGACACCGCAACAGUUUCCAUGGAGAAGAACGUCCGAGGUGUUCAUGUGAUGGUAACAUAAGCCGGGAAAUUCCUCUCUGCAUUUAACCCAUCCUAGCUGUGUAGCUAGGAGCAGUGGGCAGCCGUCGUGCAGCACCCGCGGACCAACUCCAGCUCGUCUUGCCAUGCCUCGGUCAGGGACACAGACAGGCGCACUAACCCUAACAUGCGUGUCUUUCUGAUGGUGGGGGAAACUGGAGCACCCAGAG